UAACAUCCGCAGGCUGGCCGGCCCCAGGCUGGGCUGCGUGAGCGUCUCUUCAAAAGGUUCACCCUCAAGCACAACUAGGAAC
rnacentral:pre_miRNA from 1 species